rnacentral:rRNA from 1 species
AUUGAACGCUGGCGGCAUGCCUUACACAUGCUAGUCGAACGGUAACGCGGGGCAACCUGGCGACGAGUGGCGAACGGGUGAGUAAUGCAUCGGAACGUGCCCAGUAGUGGGGGAUAACUGCUCGAAAGAGCAGCUAAUACCGCAUACGACCUGAGGGUGAAAGCGGGGGAUCGCAAGACCUCGCGCUAUUGGAGCGGCCGAUGGCAGAUUAGGUAGUUGGUGGGGUAAAGGCCCACCAAGCCAACGAUCUGUAGCUGGUCUGAGAGGACGACCAGCCACACUGGGACUGAGACACGGCCCAGACUCCUACGGGAGGCAGCAGUGGGGAAUUUUGGACAAUGGACGCAAGUCUGAUCCAGCCACGCCGCGUUCGGGAAGAAGGCCUUCGGGUUGUAAACCGCUUUUGUCAGUGAAGAAACGCUCUGGGUUAAUACCUCGGGGUAAUGACGGUACCUGAAGAAUAAGCACCGGCUAACUACGUGCCAGCCGCCGCCGUAACAC